rnacentral:misc_RNA from 1 species
AAAAGAUGAUUUAAUUUAACAUCCAUUUAUACAAAGACAAGCGCACCUGAAAGAUAAACCAGAUGAUCAUCAAAUGGAUGGCAUAUUGUAUAAGAAUAAAUAAUUUAUUGGAGUUCCACUCCAAUAGAUUUUGUCACCGAACAUGCACAUUAAGUGAUUGAGAAACUGAGUUUUUGAUCAAUUUGUGUAGAGAUUCCAUGAUAUAUGAAAACGAUGGACGUUUUGAAGGCUCACUAGUCAAGCAGACAUCAAUUAGGGCAGCCACUGAAGGAUUUACAUUGUUUGGAACUUCAAGCCUCUGACCCUUGAAACCAACAGCUGCUACAACCUGUGCUUGAUUUAAAUUUCUCCAAGGCCUUUGAAGGGUCAUAAUUUCCCACAAGAUUACACCAAAGCUGUAAACAUCUGCUUUCUCAUUUGAUGGGUCAUUGCGGAGAACUUCUGGUGCCAUCCACUCAGGAGUUCCUGCUGCAGUUUUUGAAGAAAGAUACGACUUUGCUUUUGAGCGGGAAAGCCCAAAAUCACAAACCUUCACCGUGUAUGUACCGUCCACUAAGAGGUUUAGAGACUUUAAAUCUCGAUGAACAAUGGGAGGUCUAAGCUGAUGAAGAUAGUUCAUACCCUUUGCCACAUCAUAUGCCAUUUUUAAGCGCAGUUUCUCAUCCAGUAUCAAUCCAGCAUCAGGCAUAUGCAAAAGUUUAUGCAAGCUACCCCUUGAUAAAUACUCUGUAACUAUGGACAAAUUAGGAGGCUGAGUAACAGCACCCAUAAAGAGAACAAUGUUUGGAUGCCUCAAACGUUUCAUGAUUUUAACCUCACUCAAAAAUUCAUUGAAGCGCUCCACAUGGUAAUCUUGCUCCAUCAGAAUUUUGACAGCGACAUCUGAGCCACGCCAAUCAGCGCGAUAGACAGUUCCGAAUGAACCUUCUCCAAUUUUCUCCUUCAAAUCAAGUUCACUCCAUGGAAUGUCCAAAUCAUCCUCUUCAAGGUGAAGUUCACUACUUGAUUUAUUCACAAAUGACUUGUUUGCUUGCAAGAACAACUGAUAAUUAGAUGCAUCAGAUUUUGGAUUGGAGAAAACAGAACCUAGUGGAAUUGGACCUUUUGCUAGGUUAUCUGAUUCAUCGGAUGAGUUUAGAACACCACGAUCCUUGCCAUGGGUAAUGUUCACAGUAACUCUUUUGAGCAGAGGUGGUGGAGCUGCAUGGUUGUUGCUUGAAAUGGGUAAAAGGUUCUUGUUAUCUUUAAUGAGUGUUUGACUACUUUUCUCAUCAUGAUCAGUAGUCGUGCCUGAGAUAGUGUCAUCAAAUGCAAGAUUAAGUGACUGGCUGUCAAAGAAAAAUAGUUUGGCAAAUGUCCUGAAAUCCUCAGCUGUUUGGAUAGGUUUAAAACUCGGAUGAGAUAAAGGUGAAGAAACUAAAAUUGAAGAAGUACAAUUAAGUGAGCAAUCAGGCUGGCUUAACAUUCCUGGCUUCCCAAACAAAUCAACCAAAUAUUCCCUCUCAUUACCAACCAGUACAAGACAAGAAGCAGAAACAUCAGCUCUACAAUGUUUGCAGCCUUUAGCAAUUCUGCAUGGCAAGUUAACUGAGUCUGCUAACACUUUAAACAGUAAGGCACGAUGGACACAGAGGCCAACACGUAAGCUUCCAAUUGGAAUCACAACAGAUCGUAAACGAUUUAUCAGAACUUCAGUGCAUUCCUUCCA